GCCAUCAGAGAAUUCAAAUUCUCUUACUUUUCUCUCUCUUCAAAAUAUAACCCUUCACCUUCACAUUGACUCUUCUCUGUUUUCCAUUUCAUUAAUUUAGAGAAACUUCAGACCUCAAACCCUAACCCCAAACAAACCAGCCGCACCUUCCUUCUCUCUCGCAACUCCGGUCGACGGAGCAACUCCGAUCGGCUGCUAGCGGCAAUUUAAGUCCGGCAACCCCUUUUUCUUCUCUCCCCUUCUCGUUUUCAGUCCGGCAACACACAAGAAGGAGCCGACGUUGGUUUCUGGCUCGGCUGUUGAUGAUGAUGACGACGAUUUUGAUGGUGAUGGUGGUUCCGGUGACGACUCCAGCAGCCAAGGUUUAAAGUGAUCUAAUUAUGACGACGAGAUUGAUGAUGAUGCGAGGAUGGUGUCGACGGCAAAAAACUGCCCCAGCCGGCGGUGGUGGGGCCGGCCGGCGGCGGCAGUAGCUGUGGUGGUGUUACUGUUCAAGUUUUGGCUUCGAGUCUCGGUUCAAGAUGCGGGUUCGAGUCAAGAAUGCAAACUCGCUUCAGAUUCAGUUUCGGUUCAGAUUUGGUUCGGGUUUCGCGGCACGGUCGGUCCAGGUCAACUCAGUUCAAUCAACGAAAUUAAACACGAGACUUGGUAAACUCGGUCAACGAAAUUAAACACUAGACUCGGUUAUGCAUUGUGGAUUUGCUUGUUGUCAGCAAACUAGCUUUUUGAAAUUUGAAAGGGUUUAUAUUUGCUUUAGAAUUGAUCCUGGAUGCCCAACCAUUUGUGUUUUUGAUAUUGCGGGUUUGAGAAUUGAUCCUGUCU
rnacentral:lncRNA from 1 species